UACGUAGGUGGCAAGCGUUGUCCGGAAUUAUUGGGCGUAAAGGGCUCGUAGGCGGUCCGUCACGUCGGGAGUGAAAACUUGGGGCUUAACCCCAAGCCUGCUUCCGAUACGGGCGGACUAGAGGUAGGCAGGGGAGAACGGAAUUCCUGGUGUAGCGGUGAAAUGCGCAGAUAUCAGGAGGAACACCGGUGGCGAAGGCGGUUCUCUGGGCCUUACCUGACGCUGGAGGAGCGAAAGCGUGGGGAGCAAACAGG
rnacentral:rRNA from 1 species